rnacentral:lncRNA from 1 species
UUAACACAAUGGUAUUUGUGUAUCUAAACAUAUUCAAACAUAGAAAAAAGGUAUGGUAUAAAUACAGUAUAAAAGAUAGAGAAUGGCACACCUGUAUGGAACACUUACCAUGAAUGGCAUGUGGAGGACUGGAAGCUGAUCUGGCUGAACAAAAUUUUUAAGGUCAGAUAUCAUCUGGAGGAAACAGCUGGAAAAAGGUGGACUCUGCUUGCUGCCCGACCAUGCUUGACAUCAAGGUAUGGGAGACAGGAGGGUGGGGACAUUGUCCUCUUGGCUCAGGUUUCCUCCCCCUUUCAACCCUGCUGGCUUCUCCCACCCACAUAGGUGUUUGCUGAUUACCUACUAGAUGCCAGGAGCUGGGGGCAGCACAGAACUGAACAUAACAAGAAGGUCCUUGCCCUUAUGGAGCUUGUGUGCCCACAGGCAGAGGAGUGAAUAUUGUCUCUUUCUUUUGCAGCUCUGAGGUUUUGGAACUUAGAUAUUUUCUCUGCUUGAACCAUUGAGAAAUCCUUUUGGGUGAAGAUAGCAAGACCUGUGCUAGGGUUGGGGCUGGAACUAGGGCCAGGCAGGAACCUACUAACCUGCUUGGGGCCACCUCCCUGGCCCUCCUGAGGGUGUUACCUCCUCAGAGGGCUGCUCCCCUUCUCCUGCUCCUACCUUUCCUCUUCCUCCUCUGCCCUCCUCUUCCUCAGCUGUUCUAUUUCCAAGCAGGCAGCUUAACUUAGGCCUCCUGGUUGGGCCUUUAAUUUGGAUUU